rnacentral:rRNA from 1 species
CCUACGGGCGGCAGCAGUGGGGGAUAUUGCACAAUGGGGGAAACCCUGAUGCAGCGACGCCGCGUGAGUGAAGAAGUAUUUCGGUAUGUAAAGCUCUAUCAGCAGGGAAGAAAAUGACAGUACCUGACUAAGAAGCCCCGGCUAACUACGUGCCAGCAGCCGCGGUAAUACGUAGGGGGCAAGCGUUAUCCGGAUUUACUGGGUGUAAAGGGAGCGUAGACGGUUUGGUAAGUCUGGAGUGAAAGCCCGGGGCUCAACCCCGGGACUGCUUUGGAAACUGUGUAACUAGAGUGCAGGAGGGGCAGGCGGAAUGCCUGGUGUAGCGGUGAAAUGCGUAGAUAUCAGGAGGAACACCGGCGGCGAAGGCGGCCUACUGGACUGAAACUGACGUUGAGGCUCGAAAGCGUGGGGAGCAAACAGGAUUAGAUACCCGGGUAGUC